rnacentral:lncRNA from 1 species
GGGUUGUAUAAUUCUUAAGAUUGUAUGUUUGGAUUGGAUAACCAUGUUUUGUAUGUUUGGAUUGGAUAACCAUGUUUUGUAUGUUUGGAUUGGAUGACCACAUUUUGUAUUUGGAAGUUAAAAUGCACAUGCUUGGGAUGUAGAAAUUAUUUAAGUUUAUGCCAAAUUUGUACAGGAAUCUGAAACAGGGGCUUAUAUCUAUUAAAGCCCAACACAAACAGACUUUAUAAAAAAUAAAAAAAAAUAAAAAAAGGGCCAAAACCGGAAAACCGGACCGGACCGGACGGUUCGGUUUUGGUCCG